GACAGAGGGUGCAAACGUUGCUCGGAAUCACUGGGCGUAAAGGGCGUGUAGGCGGGACAGUAAGUCGGGCGUGAAAUCCCCUGGGCUCAACCCAGGAACUGCACUCGAAACUACUAUUCUUGAGUGUCGGAGAGGAAAGCGGAAUUCCUGGUGUAGAGGUGAAAUUCGUAGAUAUCAGGAGGAACACCAGUGGCGGAAGGCGG
rnacentral:rRNA from 1 species